CUUCCUGCUUGUGAGAAGUGCGACAGCAUUUCCUAUGCGUUGAUGAAGUAGGUUACAAACCACAAAAAUUAUUGCCAUAUCCUUCAUGAAACAGCAAGAUUUAACAAACAAGGAAUCAGUGAUAUUUUGAGUUUAAACGUGUGGGUAUGCGGUAGCCUAGAAUUUUGGUUUGUUUUAUUUUUGAACAUAAAAGUCUUUAGUACACGAAAUUAUUUUCGGCAUUAUAUAUACUAUUAACAGGUCUGCUACCCUCAAGAAACACCAGACAGGGCCGUCCCCACCAUUGAGGUUCUCGAGGUACGGACCUCGGUAUUUUUCCAACAACAAGAGUUGUAAAACACCCUAUAUUAAUUCUUCUUUGGUGCUGCAAGGAUAAAAAGCCAAGAUAAAUAGAUCUUUCUCAUCUGAGAUGCCUCAGCGAUCUUACAACGCUCAUCAAUGUCAAAGUGUUUGUGAUGAUGGCCAAUCAAAUCAAAGUAGGCGGGGUUUAUGUUCACAGGCGCUGAGUGUAAAAAUUCCAGCCUCUGACGCCUCUGAAAUUCUGACACCUCAGACAGAUAUGAAGCGCAAGAUAUGACAAUGAAAAGUAUCAGUCAGUCAAAGCUCAGCUUUGGGAAGGGAAUAAAUACAGGGAAAGAGAAGCAGACUGCGACAAAGAGAGAGAUGGUGAUGGAAAAGAGAGAAGUACAGCAAUCCACUGUAGACUGUCCAUCUGGGGCCAUUCUUAGCAACAGCAAGCUGCCUCCAAGUGAGGAGAACUCCAACCAGAAGCAGGGCAUCAGGAUGGAUCAGAGCAGAAGGAUUGAGAGAAAUUAAAAGCUUGACAACGAUGUCUCAUGCUGUUCACGAGUCGACUCACGAGUCACGAGGCAUGGCACUCCACUCUUCUUGAAGGGCGGCCCUCAGGUCAUUUAGGUUCUGGGGUGCAGGUUUACGAGCCUCUACACGGCGACUCCAGCAGCCGUUCCCUAAUGAUGCGACCUCGAUGAGCUGGAGCAUUGUCGUCCAUGAAGAUGAAAUUAGGCCUGUGUUGUUCAUGCAGGGGCACAAUGACUGGAUUAAUGAUGUUAUUCAGGUAGUAUUGGCUUGUCACUGUACCAUUCACAAGAUGUAGGGCAGUUCUGUAUUGAGUACUGAGACUGAGACUGUAACACCACCACAACAGUGACUGAUGCAUAGAGCUGUCCUUGACGUCUCCAACAUCAUUGGCGGCCAUCAUUUCUGCUCAGUGUGAAUCGACUUUCAUCAGAGAACAGCACUGAGGCCCACUGGUCCCUCGUCCAGUGUAAAUGCUCCCGACGCCUGUGCCUGGUGGUGUGGUUAGGUACCCUUGCAGGUCAUUUAGCACGCAGACCAUGCUGAUGUAAAUGGUUUCGAAUGGUCUGACGUGACACUUGGAUGCCUAUCACCUCCCUUAAAUGUGCCUGGAGUUGAGUGGUAUUCAUCAUCCGGUUCUGCAGGGCACCAUUCACAAUGAAGCGGUCAUCAACGUGGGAUGUGGCCAAAGGACGUCUACUUCUAUGCCUUUAAGUGACUCAGUCUCUCUGUAUCUCUGUCGCAACCUGCUGAUGACAUUCUGUGACACUCUAAGCUCAGUGGCCACUUCCCUCUGAGGACAUCCUGUUUGAAGUGCAAUGGCAAGGUACUGUUGAUCAAUUGUUAGGUGUCGUCUUGGUCUCAUGAUGUCAAAAUGUGAACAGCAUGAUGGAGGACUGUUUAAAUACCAAUUCUAAUUGAACCAGAAAAUUUUUGUCUUGCCCGUCUCUGCUAUAGUAAUUUUAGCUUGCAUAAUAAAAUAAUUAUUGCCAAUAAUAAUCAACUAGCUAAUGCUAAAUUACCAUACAGUCAUGGAAAAAAUAAAUUACAACCUCCUUCAUUCAUAUGUGUGCUAAUAAUUGUUAAGUGACAGUUAUUAGCAGCCCAACAUCAGCUAUACAGGUCAGCUAGCUAAGCCAUUUAGAUUUAUGUAUUUGUAUUUGUAUUUAUAGUAUUUGUAUAU